rnacentral:rRNA from 1 species
UAAUACAUGCAAGUCGAGCGAACAGAUGAAGUGCUUGCACUUCUGACGUUAGCGGCGAACGGGUGAGUAACACGUAAGGAAUCUACCUAUAAGCGGGGGAUAACAUUCGGAAACGGGUGCUAAUACCGCAUAAUAUYUUCUUCCGCAUGGAAGAAGAUUGAAAGACGGCUCUGCUGUCACUUAUAGAUGACCUUGCGGUGCAUUAGUUAGUUGGUGGGGUAAUGGCCUACCAAGACGAUGAUGCAUAGCCGACCUGAGAGGGUGAUCGGCCACAUUGGGACUGAGACACGGCCCAAACUCCUACGGGAGGCAGCAGUAGGGAAUCUUCCGCAAUGGGCGAAAGCCUGACGGAGCAAUGCCGCGUGAGUGAAGAAGGCCUUCGGGUCGUAAAACUCUGUUAUAAGAGAAGAACAAAUUGUAGAGUAACUGCUACAGUCUUGACGGUAUCUUAUCAGAAAGCCACGGCUAACUACGUGCCAGCAGCCGCGGUAA